UCCGCACUGUUUCGUUUCCACAGAAAUAUCGUCCGCUUCGAACCAGCUUGGUUGGGCUGUUGGGGGCAGCCAUGGGAUGCACGGAUUCGGUCUUCGGCAUUUGGGGCCGUCGAUUUCCAUUUGGGCUGGCGCCUUGCGAAUCUCACCGUCCGUUUGGUCUUCAUCGCAUCUCAUCUGUUCAUUCAUUGGUUCAACCAUCUUUCAUCCUCUGUCCAACGUUCGUCUAAAGAUUUUCGAUCUGCGAGUUCUUCCAUUGCUGAUGGGUUUCUGAGCAUACUGUUGAAUCCUCGAUUCCUUGCCCAAAUUGAUUCCAUAGUUUUUAUUCUUUGAGUUUAGCAUUGAUGCUGCGUUUUUGGUGGUGUAGGGUUAUGAGAGAGAAUUUUCAAAUCUUUGAUGACAACGACAAUGCAGAGAUAGUUGUUUUGUGAUUUUGAUUGUUUAGAGGGUGACUUUUGCAUAGGAAGUAUUGAAGGAUGUGUCGACUUGGGAGAGAAGAAUUAUAAGUGCAUUUACUGUGGUGCACUUUUUUGGUUAAAAGAAUCCAUUCAGCAGCAAGAAGAAGCGUGUAAGCAAGCAACUGCCCAAAUAUAUCUCUCUCUCUCUCUCUCUCGAUUUUGCAAGGAUCUCCUAAAUACUUGGAGAAGACUGAGAAUUCCACAAAGCAUCGCAACUCUAACGACACUUGGCUGCUCACUUUAAAGAACAGUUUGUGGGUAUGGAAGUACUCUCAUACAGUUCUGCACCAUGCUAUGAUACUUUUAAUUUAAGGUGGAAAUUGAUUGUGAAAAGCUCAAGUUCACAUCAAUUCAGUCUCCUAGGUUUUAGAAAAAACAGAGUUUUUGGUGCUAAAUUUGAUGUUAGAAAGAAGUUUUUGAGCUGUUACAAUUUAGAUCAGCCUUUCUUGAAGCAACUAAAUCACCAAGGAGGUUUUAGGUCAUUAGACACCGGUGAAAACUUCAAACAUGUUGGUCCAAUUUUAUCAAGUGGAAGCUCUGAUGGCUACGUAAUUAAAAGGGAAGAGAAUGAAAGUAUUUCAGAAACAGGGGAACCAGUAACUAAAGUUUUGAUUCCUGGUCUACCAGAUGAAUCCAAAGGUGAAUCAGGUGCGCCAGUAAAUAGUUGCUUUUGGGAAUGGAAGCCCGAAUUCAGUGUGCAUUAUGAGAAAGCUGGAUGUGAAACCUUAGGCUCCCUUCCAGUGCUGUUUCUGCCUGGUUUUGGGGUUGGUUCCUUUCACUAUGAGAAGCAACUGAAGGAGUUGGGGCUUGAUUUUAGAGUACGGGCUAAGCAGCUGAAUGGAUGGUGUGUAUAUCUAUAUUUGGAUGGUAUGUACUUGGAUUCAUUGAAACAAUUGAGAUUGAGUGCUUAUAUCUUAGCAGCUGACUUUGAGCCUUAAAAUUUUCAGAUAUUUAUGAUGACCCAUUCUUGGGCCCAUUGCAAUAAUUGAGAUUUGAGUGCUUAGGUCUAAGCAGCUGAAUUUGAGUCAUUAAUUUUUCAGAUGUGUAUGAUUUUGAUUGUUCCGUCAGGUUUCUUUAUUAGUUAUUUUCCCCUAAUCACAAUUGUUUCACUUCCAGAAACUAAUGGCAUCAUUCGUUCAUUUUGCAAGAUUGGUGUAUACUAUGGUACUCCACAAGCGACAUUUGGAGGAAUUGCAUUAAAAUUCUUUGCCUCAGUUCGGCUUGAAAUAUGUUCUACAGGGAAGAUAAAGUCUGUAAAUGGAGAGGAAGUAAUUGGAGUUCGGGUUCAUGUAAGAGUGCAAAAGAGCAAGAUGUUAACUGUGUACGAGAGAGUCAAGAAGAGGCGGUGAGUAGAAGGAGGUUCUUUGCAGGCUAGACAAGGUUGAAAAUGGUUUUUUUUUUUCUCUCCCUAUUUUCCUUCAAAACUUUUUGUUCACUUAUUCUCCUUGAAUUUUAUGUUCAAAGUAGUUAAAUUUUCGUCCAAAAUGUUUUAUUUGUGUUUCUUGAUUUGAAUGAAAGUUUGGUAUUUCAUCCUU